rnacentral:lncRNA from 1 species
AGAGCGAGUGUCCCGUCGGUCCCGGAGCAGCCCAGCCCGGCCCAGCCCUCACAGGUCCUCUGUGGUGCACACAGCCCACCUCCCAGCCAUGCGCUCUCUCCUUCUGGGCACCUUAUGCCUCCUGGCUGUGGCCCUGGCAGCCGAGGUGAAGAAACCUGUAGAGGCCACAGCCCCUGGUACUGCGGAGAAGCUGAGUUCCAAGGCGACCACACUGGCAGAGCGCAGCACAGGCCUGGCCUUCAGCCUGUAUCAGGCAAUGGCCAAAGAUCAGGAGGUGCACACGGGGCUGGGCGAGCUGCUGCGCUCCCUCAGUAACUCCACUGCGCGCAAUGUGACCUGGAAACUGGGCAGCCGCCUGUACGGGCCCAGCUCCGUGAGCUUCGCC